rnacentral:lncRNA from 13 species
AAACCAUCAAGACUAUAGAAUUCAAGAACACUAUCAAUCAAUCUUUAUAGAACACUCCACCCAAUUGCAGCAGAAUACACAACUUUUCAAGCAUCUUCAGAGCAUGUACCAAGAUUGACCAAACCCUGGGCCAUAAAGUAAAACUCUAACAAAUUUUUAAAAACUGCAAACCAGAGAUAAUGACCGAGAUCGAUCCAAGAUGGCCGAUCACUAACAGCUCAGGAUUGUAGCUCCCAGUGAAGGCCCAGAGAACGAGACGACGCCACACUUUUAGACAAAUUUUCAUCACUCACCGAUCAGCUGAUUCCCAGUGGAGGAGCCCCACGGGUCGCCAGCGCGACUCUUGUGGCCGCCGCAGUGGUUUUGCCAGCGUCUCAGCGCAGCAGCUCUUCAUGCAGAGCCAACGGGACUGCUUCCCCUACUGACCGGAGUUUGGAGCUCCGGGAAGUCAGAGUCAGAGCCGCUUGUUGCGGACUCAAGAGGGAAGCCAGACCAGAGAUUCCCGGGCAGAAGAGCACCAUCAGUCUUACCGCUGCUAUUUAGGCUGCCACAGUGGGUUGCUCGGAUCCCAGCACUGGGAAUCAACAAGUCGGACGUCGACUCAGAAAACUAAUUAGAAAGGCGGUUCAUCUACAAUGAAGGGAAAAAAACAGCCUAAGAAGGCCGAGUAUACUCAAAAUCAGAACCCAUCAACAACAGAACAAGCCCUGAUGGAAAAGGACUCAUCAGCAACCGAACAAGCUCUGAUGGAAAAGGACUCAUCAGUAACGGAACAAGCCCUGAUGGAAAAGGACUGUGUUCCAUUAUCUGAAGUAGGCUUUAAAAGGUGGAUGAUAAGAAACUUCUGGGAGUUAAAGGAACUCGUUCUAACCCAAUGUAAAGAAACUAAGAACUUGGAAAAAAGGACUGUGUUCCAUUAUCUGAAGUAGGCUUUAAAAGGUGGAUGAUAAGAAACUUCUGGGAGUUAAAGGAACUUGUUCUAACCCAAUGUAAAGAAACUAAGAACUUGGAAAAAAGGUUAGAUGAAAUGUUGAAAAGAAUAGACAAUAUAGAGAGGAAUACAAAUGAACUUAUGGAGUUGAAAAAUACA